GUUUUUUGGCGAGGAGCAAUGGCGGAGCUGCGUCACUCCAGCUCUUGGAAGCCUUGCACUGAGCGGCGCAUGGGUGGAGUCUCUGGUAUAUUAGAGAAUGACACUGGAGACCAUCAAAAGAGUGAGUCCGAGAAGGGCUCUAUUAAUGGGAAUGGCUCAGGCGUUUGGUCACCACAAAUCUUUCAGGUAAAACUUUUCUUCUGGUCAGCUCUUGUAGUUUUGUGAUCAGGCUCUUGUAGUUUUGUGGUCAGCUCUUGUAGUUUUGUGGCCAGGCUCUUGUAAUUUUGUGGUAGGGCUCUUGUAAUUUUGUGGUCAGCUCUUGUAGUCUGCUGCUUGUUUUGUAGUGGACUUGGUUUUGUUGUAUCACGUGUGUAUCAAACCUUUUGAUCUUGUUUUGUUGUAUCACAGACCGUUUGUUGUAAUGAAAGCAUCAGUCAUCAUCUCUUUUUAUAAA